AACGAACGCUGGCGGCAGGCUUAACACAUGCAAGUCGAGCGCAUCCUUCGGGGUGAGCGGCGGACGGGUGGGUAACGCGUGGGAACGUGCCCUCUUCUACGGAAUAGCCUCGGGAAACUGAGAGUAAUGCCGUAUACGCCCGCAAGGGGAAAGAUUUAUCGGAGGAGGAUCGGCCCGCGUUGGAUUAGGUAGUUGGUGGGGUAACGGCCUACCAAGCCGACGAUCCAUAGCUGGUUUGAGAGGAUGAUCAGCCACACUGGGACUGAGACACGGCCCAGACUCCUACGGGAGGCAGCAGUGGGGAAUCUUGGACAAUGGGGGCAACCCUGAUCCAGCCAUGCCGCGUGAUCGAUGAAGGCCUUAGGGUUGUAAAGAUCUUUCAGCUGGGAAGAUAAUGACGGUACCAGCAGAAGAAGCCCCGGCUAACUCCGUG
rnacentral:rRNA from 1 species